CGGGGAAGCGUAGAGAUCCUCUGAUUGAGCUGCUUGCUUAUUUUGUUGAAGUAAUGUUGCCAGAAGCCGUUGUAUCUGCAAAGAUGUUCGACGAACCUAAAGUGGUCGUAGUUCCCGAAGGAGCAAAAACUUCGAA